CAGUUUUAGCAGAACUUAUACUAAAACAUUGGAAUGAUACCAAGAAGAUUAGCAGGGUCCCUGCAUAAGGAUGACACUCAAAUCCAUGAAGCAUUCCAUAGUUGG